rfam:Pestalotiopsis fici W106-1 unplaced genomic scaffold PFICI_Scf_4, whole genome shotgun sequence.
UCUCGAUUAGUAUAGUGGUCAGUAUGCCAGCUUGUCAAUGAAUCAUGAUUCAACUCGCUGGAGACCGGGGUUCAAUUCCCCGAUCGAGAG